AUUGAACGCUGGCGGCAUGCCUUACACAUGCAAGUCGAACGGUAACAGGUCUUCGGAUGCUGACGAGUGGCGAACGGGUGAGUAAUACAUCGGAACGUGCCUAGUAGUGGGGGAUAACUACUCGAAAGAGUGGCUAAUACCGCAUGAGAUCUACGGAUGAAAGCAGGAGAUCGCAAGACCUUGUGCUACUAGAGCGGCCGAUGGCAGAUUAGGUAGUUGGUGGGAGAAACGCUUACCAAGCCGACGAUCUGUAGCUGGUAUGAGAGGACGAUCAGCCACACUGGGACUGAGACACGGCCCAGACUCCUACGGGAGGCAGCAGUGGGGAAUUUUGGACAAUGGGCGAAAGCCUGAUCCAGCAAUGCCGCGUGCAGGAUGAAGGCCUUCGGGUUGUAAACUGCUUUUGUACGGAACGAAAAGCCCCGGGUUAAUACCCUGGGGUCAUGACGGUACCGUAAGAAUAAGCACCGGCUAACUACGUGCCAGCCGCCGCCGUAA
rnacentral:rRNA from 1 species